CAGCCGCCGCGGUAAUACGUAGGGUGCAAGCGUUGUCCGGAAUUAUUGGGCGUAAAGAGCUCGUAGGCGGCUUGUUGCGUCGACUGUGAAAACCUGGGGCUCAACCCCGGGCCUGCAGUCGAUACGGGCAAGCUAGAAUUCGGUAGGGGAGACUGGAACUCCUGGUGUAGCGGUGAAAUGCGCAGAUAUCAGGAAGAACACCGGUGGCGAAGGCGGGUCUCUGGGCCGAUAUUGACGCUGAGGAGCGAAAGCGUGGGGAGCAAACAGGAUUAGAUACCCCUGUAGUCCCUGUCUCUUAUAA
rnacentral:rRNA from 1 species